rnacentral:lncRNA from 1 species
GUUUUAUUAUCUAUUGUUUCCAUUGCUUUAAGUAAUUUUUAUCUUCUUUCAUGUGUGUGUAUGUGUGAAAGAAAAAGAGAAAGAGAGAAAAAGAGAUGAAGAUAAAGAAAGAGAGAAAUUGAAAAUGAGCAGGAAGAGAAGGAGAAUUGAUUCUUUGACUAUUGUACAUAGACUUCUGAAGUUACGUUAUGUGCAUCCGUGUAGAAAUUCCACUGUUCUUUUGGCUUUCCUGCCUACUAAGCUGGACACCUGUGAAUCGUCUGGAAACAUGUGGAUGAGGGCAACAUCCUAAAAAUGGCAGAGCAACUAGAAACAACCACCUUGGUCUCUGACACCAUGGAGUCAUUACACCAAUCCUGGCAUUCUGAGACCAACUUAGCUGUUGUUUCUCUUCGAUGAGUCUUCAACUUUAUACUUAAGAAUCAAGCAUUUCGCUGGAAUAUGUCUGCAUUAAGUCAUGAAAGAAGAGGGUUGACCAGUUAUUCUCCGAGGUCCUUUUCAGUGUCGCUCGUCAAGGACUGGUUGGCUUAUCACCUGAGUCUAAAAACGUACCUGGCACAUAGUGACUGCUCAGUAUGUAUCUGUUGAAUAAGUGCAUGCUGGUAUGCAACAAAAGAGCCAGCAAGAGAAAUGGCUACGUGUUGUAUCUCUGGGGAGAAAGACUGGUGAUGAGCGAGGAGGACAGGACCCUCCCCUCUCAUCUGAUACAAGUGUUUUUACUCUGUGUGUAUUACGUUUAUUAUAAACUGUUUUAAAGACAUUGUGGCUGGAUCCUGAUCUAAAAUAUAUCAGUAUCCUAUGCACAUUUAAUCUAUAUUUAAUUUUAUUUCUUCCACUUCAAUCUACUUUGCUUCUGAUCAUAAAUGGAAAUGAGCCAGCAGAAAGGAGAUGGCAUCUAUCCAUUCUGCAUCCAUGCGAGAGUUCAGUGUUCUGGAACCUGAAUGCCAUGAACCCUCACUAAUGACCAUAGAUAGGAACCUAGGAAAAUACUUUUAUAUGAAUUAAUUGAAAUGAUACAAAUUAAAAAUGUGGCUAAUGUGAAUGUGAAUGCAAAUACAAGUAGAUACAAUCAAUUUAGCUGAAUGCACCAGACCAUUCAUGUGGCCACAAUUCCUCAAGCCCCACUAACUUUAAAUAUUUUCUAUAUCUGGCCAG